rnacentral:rRNA from 1 species
UGGGGAAUAUUGGACAAUGGGGGGAACCCUGAUCCAGCCAUGCCGCGUGUGUGAAGAAGGCCUUAUGGUUGUAAAGCACUUUAAGCGAGGAGGAGGGUACUGGUAUUAAUACUACCAGGUACUGGACGUUACUCGCAGAAUAAGCACCGGCUAACUCUGUGCCAGCAGCCGCGGUAAUACAGAGGGUGCGAGCGUUAAUCGGAUUUACUGGGCGUGAAGCGUGCGUAGGCGGCUAAUUGAGUCGGAUGUGAAAUCCCCGAGCUUAACUUGGGAAUUGCAUUCGAUACUGGUUAGCUAGAGUGUGGGAGAGGAUGGUAGAAUUCCAGGUGUAGCGGUGAAAUGCGUAGAGAUCUGGAGGAAUACCGAUGGCGAAGGCAGCCAUCUGGCCUAACACUGACGCUGAGGUACGAAAGCAUGGGGAGCAAACAGG